rnacentral:rRNA from 1 species
UUUCCGGUUGAUCCCGCCGGAGGCCACUGCUAUUGGGGUUCGACUAAGCCAUGCGAGUCUAUGGACUUCGGUCCAUGGCGGACGGCUCAGUAACACGUGGCUAACCUACCCUCAGGUGGGGGAUAACCUCGGGAAACUGAGGGUGACACCCCAUAGGGGAAGAGGUCUGGAAUGAUCCUUCCUUGAAAGGACAUCCGCCUGAGGAUGGGGCUGCGUCCGAUUAGGUAGUUGGUGGGGUAAUGGCCCACCAAGCCUACGACCGGUACGGGCCUUGAGAGAGGAGCCCGGAGAUGGGGACUGAGACACGGCCCCAGGCCCUACGGGGCGCAGCAGGCGCGAAACCUCCACAAUGCACGAAAGUGCGAUGGGGGAACCCCAAGUGCCUAUGCACAGCAUAGGCUUUUCCCAAGUGUAAACAGCUUGGGGAAUAAGGGCUGGGCAAGUCCGGUGCCAGCAGCCGCGGUAACACCGGCGGCCCGAGUGGUGGCCACUCUUAUUGGGCCUAAGCGUCCGUAGCCGGUCCAGUAAGUCCCUGUUUAAAUCCUACGGCUCAACCGUAGGGCUGGCAGGGAUACUGCUGGACUUGGGACCGGGAGAGGACGAGGGUACUCCAGGGGGUAGCGGGUGAAAUGUGUUGAUCCCUGGAGGACCACCUAUGGGCGAAGGCACUCGUCUGG